GACGUAGGGGGCCAGCGUUGUUCGGAAUUACUGGGGGUAAAGGGUUCGUAGGCGGUGUAGCAAGUCGGGAGUGAAAUCUCUGGGCUUAACCCAGAGGCUGCUUCCGAAACUGCUGUGCUUGAGUGUGGGAGAGGCGCGUGGAAUUGCAGGUGUAGCGGUGAAAUGCGUAGAUAUCUGGAGGAACACCGGUGGCGAAGGCGGCAUCCUGGACCGGUAUUGACGCUGAGGCGCGAAAGCUAGGGGAGCAAACGGG
rnacentral:rRNA from 1 species